rnacentral:lncRNA from 12 species
GUAAUUUCAUAUAAAUUCAUUAUUUAAGUGUAUGUGAAAACUCAUGUAAAAUGUCGUUACAUAUAGUACUAUUAUAGUUAGUAUUAUUGUACAAUCUUUUCCUGAAAUCCUGAAAUGCCUCUUUUGUCUAUUUCUAUCUGCAAAUAUAUCUAGGACAAGGAAAUGUGUCAUUAAGCUCUGUCCUUUUUUUUUUUUGUCCUUUUUGUUAUCGUCGUUACUGUGAUGUUUCGAUCACACACAGUUACUAUUAUUUAGAUUACAAAAUGAAAACAGCUUUAUCACCAUUCUUAUGAACUACCUUCUGUUCAAUACUACCUCCUUGAGUAUUUAUUUAUCCUGCAGGUUUGAGGAUUUGUUUCACCCAACCCUUGUUCGUGGGCAACCUGGUGUUUCAACAUCGCAAGUAAACAUGUGUGUGCACAAUUUCUUUUAAGAUGUGUUUUUAGACUUUAAGCAGUUCAGAAAAGGCCACGUUUCUAUUAAAGGUGGCAGGUCUCUGGGUUAACGAAACCUAUGAGUACUUAGAAGAACAUCUGUAAAUCAAAAUUUUGGUCAGACCAAAAUUGGGGAGGGAAGCUGGAGAAUUUCCUUUUAUAAAGAAAAAGGCAAGAUCAAACUCAAAAAGCUAACUGCACUCAGAAAAUGUUUAAUUUUUCUGUCUUCAGAAAUCACAGGAUACACCUACAGAGGCUUUGUGAUUUCAUCCAGUUCCCAUGUCACCUCCGAGAGCUGUUCUCAGAUGAUCAACAACCCACAGCUAAUAUUUACUAAGUGCUUGCUCUUGAUGUCGAGUGACUGGUGCUCAGUAGACACUGGUUUCCUCCCUUCCUUCCUGGCUGCUUUGAAGAGAAUAACAGAGGAGAUCACCAAAGCUUCCCAGACCGGAGUGAUUUUUUUAAAUACCAAAGAAGAG